UCUUUUUCUUCUUCUUUU
rnacentral:sRNA from 1 species